ACUUAAAUAAUUUAAAAUAAAAUAUUGAUUUGUGGUUUCAAAAAUAUGAUAUAGUCCUUUUAAGUU
rnacentral:tRNA from 1 species